rnacentral:lncRNA from 1 species
GACGAGUGUUGCAGAUGGCACUUCAAAAGCGUGCAGUAACAUUAGGCUAUUCGUUUAUUUUUAAUUCUUACUCACAAAUAGUUUAAUUAACAUGUUUUAUUGUAGCUCAAAAUAUACAUGUUAAAAAUAUACAUAAAUUGUGGGUGUGGUCAUACGCCAUUAGUUUCUGCCCCACCGAAAUGAAGGGGCACCGCACGCUACUGGUUUGGCAGUGGCCUAGAUGUUAUGACUUUAGGUGACGAAGUCUGCUUUGUUGAAAUUUCCUUCUGACUCUUGAUGCCAAUGUACCCCUUAUUAUGGUUGUUUACCUUCCUCUCAGCUCUGAUGCACUUUGAUUGAAUCCUUAGCCUCAGCCUGAUACUGUAUAUGUUGACAGGAAAAAAUAAUUCAGCUCAUGGCAUCAGGGAAGGUUGCUGUCCAGACCCAUGGCCUCUCUUUCCAGCUGUGCCACUACAUUGGAGGAUUCCAUGAGGGAAUCCCUCGUCUGAGAAUGGAACAGCUGCUUCACGUUCUGCAAGAGAGUGAACACCUCAUCAGAAGGCCGGUGGUAGAGGACACAGGACUCGGUCUUUGUCAUGUCAGGCGGUGAUGGGUCUACCAGCUGCUCCACUCUCACAACCUCAGAAGCACUGCAGCUGCUGUUCUGGGUGUCCAGGAAAUCCACCAAGUGUGUACCUGGACGAUGCAUCAUCCAGAUCUUGCUGGACCUCCGGUAUUGUUGCUGGUGUCCAGCUGCCCUGGGGACCGAUCUUCAGGCAGUGUUUCUGCUAGAAGAAAUUGGUGCCAGUCAUGUGACCGGGAAGGUUUCAUUUUACCGGUCAAAUUGGAAAGAAAACGGUCGGAUAUUGUUCGUGUUUAUUGCACUUAAAAAAAUUGAUAGGCAGGCUAUAUAA